rnacentral:rRNA from 1 species
GCUUGGUGCUUGCACCGAGCGGAUGAGUUGCGAACGGGUGAGUAACGCGUAAGUAACUUGCCUCUUAGCGGGGGAUAACUAUUGGAAACGAUAGCUAAUACCGCAUAAAAGUCGAUAUCGCAUGAUAUUGAUUUGAAAGGUGCAAUUGCAUCACUAAGAGAUGGACCUGCGUUGUAUUAGCUAGUUGGUGAGGUAACGGCUCACCAAGGCGACGAUACAUAGCCGACCUGAGAGGGUGAUCGGCCACACUGGGACUGAGACACGGCCCAGACUCCUACGGGAGGCAGCAGUAGGGAAUCUUCGGCAAUGGGGGCAACCCUGACCGAGCAACGCCGCGUGAGUGAAGAAGGUUUUCGGAUCGUAAAGCUCUGUUGUAAGAGAAGAACGAGUGUGAGAGUGGAAAGUUCACACUGUGACGGUAACUUACCAGAAAGGGACGGCUAACUACGUGCCAGCAGCCGCGGUAAUACGUAGGUCCCGAGCGUUAUCCGGAUUUAUUGGGCGUAAAGCGAGCGCAGGCGGUUAGAUAAGUCUGAAGUUAAAGGCUGUGGCUUAACCAUAGUACGCUUUGGAAACUGUUUAACUUGAGUGCAGAAGGGGAGAGUGGAAUUCCAUGUGUAGCGGUGAAAUGCGUAGAUAUAUGGAGGAACACCGGUGGCGA